AGUAAAGCGAGGAGCAGGCAGGAUAGGCUACAGAACCCGGACAGCCCUGAUAGCUGGAAGGCAGAACGGAACAGAUGAGAGUGGAGGAACUUUUUGAAUGAAUGGAAGGAGGUGUGGAGAUGUAAAUAAAGGUGCUCAGGGCUCAGCACCUUCCACGGAGAAGACUGGAGAAUUCGCCCCUGGGAGAACAAUGGUAGCUGAGAACACAAAAGGAUGGAGGAAGAGGAAGGGGGAUAACAGAACUGCCCCUAGCAUUCAGCUGAAGAAAGGUCAAGUUAGCCCAGGC